rnacentral:tRNA from 3 species
UUUAAUAUGGCAGAAAAUUAGUGCAAUGAACUUAAACUUCAUAAAUAAAGAAUUAAUCUUUUAUUAAAA